CAUAAAUGAAACAAAAGCAAAAUGUUCACAGUAGUUAAAUAACUUCAUUCCUUCGAUCAGCUGGCCCAGACUCACAUGCCCCUCCUCUUCACUCAAUCUUCCAGCCUGAUGAAAGCAGCAAGCGUGUCAAGCUAAGAAGGAAGGGAAAACAUAAAGUUCAGUCACAAAGAGUUGGAUGUGAGCACAGGUUCAAGACAAACAAGGAUUUGGGACACAUUAAUCACACUUUCAGUUCUUGCUUUUGUUUCCUCCUAAUGCAAAGUACAGCAGAAAAAUACUGACUGACUACUUCAGCUCAGUGACGCAGAUCCCCUGUGGAUCAGAAAUUAACCCUUGACUGAUGUACGUGUUAAGUUAAUCAAGUUAAUGACUGUUAAGAGGGGUGUUAGAACAGAUAACACCUUUUCUUCUCUUCAGACAUCAAGCGCUUGUUCUGGUUAAAUAUUAUCAGAGGAGCUGACUGAAGAGACAGGGGGGCUUGUACAGAGGGGCAUAAAAGAACCUCCUUUUCUCCGCAAAAUGCAUCGGCACCCUAAACCUUCCACAGACAGAAAAGAGUUGUAGACUCGCCUGAGUGUUUGCCCACAUAAGCUCAGUGGGAUUACUCACUCUGUUUGUUCGUGGCAACACUGCACCAAUGUAAAGUAGCCCCGAAACCUUGGCCUGAGGCCCGUCUGAAUUUUAAGUGACCAGUUUCCCCACUUGUGCGUCCCUGCACAUCUCCCUCCUUUUUUCCUCUCUCCCGUUUCCACCCUGUUGCUCUUCAGGCCUUACUUGCUUCUGGAGGAACGUACACAUAUCAAGGGCCUCCUUUCACUCCCGAGGCCCAGGAACGAUAUUUCUUAUUUCCCCGACUUGCAGGACAAUCCCGCCCACUGUCACCUCGUAGCUCUAUAUAAGACAGGGAAAAGGACCUGAUGAUAAGAAGUCUCAAGACAAGCCCAGCCAUGUGGUGUAAAGUCCUCGCCUAUGUUGUCCUCCUGACUCUGAUAAAGCACGUGUCUUCGAGUAAAAUUCAGGCCAGUCCAAAUACAAACGCAACCCUCCCCUGCAACAUGACGCUCUCUGCUGAGGGGGACAACAUAAACCAGUCUCUGAUCGCAGUCAGCUGGGUUAAAAAUGGCUCUGAAAUCGCCUCGUUUGGAAAAGCAGCAACACAAAUAAAGGAAGGCUUCAGCUGGGACAACGCUGACUUCGUCAAUGGGGACUUCUCGCUGGUCGUCCUCAAAGCCAGUCUUGACCUGCAGGGGAUGUAUGAAUGCACCAUCAGCUACAACUUCACUAUUCUUCACUAUAGUAAUGUUACAUUUACUAUCGUCGCAUCACCCACUCUCUCAGUUCCUCAUCAGUGGGUGGUGCUGGAAACUAAG
rnacentral:lncRNA from 1 species